UCCGGUUUGUCACCUGCAGUCACCUUAGAGUGCCCAACUGAAUGCUGGCAACUAAGAUCAAGGGCUGCCGUAUUUCUACGACAUUCCGGUGCAUGUCAAGCCCUGGUAAGGUUCUUCGCGUUGCGUCGAAUUAAACCACAUGCUCCGCUGCUUGUGCGGGCCCCCGUCAAUUCCUUUGAGUUUUAGCCUUGCGGCCGUACUCCCCAGGCGGGGUGCUUAAUGCGUUAGCUUCGGCACGGGCGGAGUCGACACCGCCCACACCUGGCACCCAUCGUUUACGGCGUGGACUAC
rnacentral:misc_RNA from 1 species